AAAUCAGCAUUUGGAGGAGGGGUGUUUAAAAAGAGAAAGAGAGAGGUGUAAAAAGAACCAGGAGGAGGAGAGGAAAACUUUUGGUUGGCUUUCAAGACUAUACAUUUGGUGGCUCUAUUGUAAGAAAGACCACAUUGUCAGAGAAAUGCAAUCAACCGUUGUGGAUGAGCGCAACCUCCUUCGUCAUGGUCCCCUCGUAAAAUCAAUGAAAUUGGCAGAAAAAGAACAGCUGCUUGACCGAAGGAGGGAGCUGGUCGUGUACAAACGCAGACAAGAAUUUAAGGUGGAGAGGGAAG